UUCAUAUACCUAUAAACACAUGAUGCAUGGUUGAAUACUGGUGAGGCGCUCCCAUAGAAGCAAUCAUGCAUACAUGGAUAUUACCAUGCAUGCAUAAACACAUGCAUGCCCAUACACUGAGAUGUACAUACAUUUAUUUGAGUCAUAAGUUAUGAAGAUCAUUCUUGGUUUUCCGGUGUGAAUUGAUCGUUUUAUUAUGGUUCAUAGUUACUUUAGAGAAGUUUUAUUAGUCAAAGUCUUUAAAUUUUUAUAUUUCAAAUCUAUAUUUGGAGUCAUAGUCCUAAAUGCUGUAUGAAAUUUCUAGCAAAUUUACACAUACUUAGAUUGUCUUUUAAUUUCAGUAAAGAUCAGUUUAUUGAAUUUUCAGAAGCUAUUUUAGUUCUUCUAACCUUAGUUGUGAUGCCUAACUUAUUUAUUUUGUUAUCAUUAUUAUUUUUUUUGUUAAAGUUUCUGCACUUUUUUUUAGCCCUUGCAAGAGAUAAUCAGACUUGUUUACCCUUAAGAUCCUAUCUUACAAGUCCUAACCCUUCCAUAUUCAAUUAUUCAACUGCUGUGCACAAAAAAGCUAAUAUUUUCUUGUGGGUUACUAUUCUCAGUCCUUUAACUCUCCCUUUUUCAUCCCCAAACUCUUUUGUACCAGCUCAAAAUCAAUGUUAACCCUUUUUCUUAUCUUUAGGCCCUCAAAAUCAUACUUAAAUUCCACAAUCUGUCCAGAAUUUCCUGCAACCUUCGUCUCUGGAACCAAGUGAUUUUCAACGGCUCUUCAUGAAAACUUCCUAUUUUUCAACAAACUAAAACCAUAAAUAUAUAAGAUUUCCACGAAUUAAGCCCACAAUAAAAUCAAUUAUUCGGGGUUCUAUUACUACUUUUACAGUGCUGUUCUAUAUCACCUUUGCUGUCAUAGUUUGUAGGAUAGUAUUCUCUACACUCUACAACAAAACUAUUUGGUAGAAGCAAAUCUUAGUCUUGCAUAGAAAUAUAUAAAUGUUAAUUAAUUUAACUCCUCACCAUUUUUGGAGGGAUGAAGUUUCGUAGAUGUGACAUGAAAAUGUGAUUAUGAAUAUUCUUUUUUUCGGAAAUUGAAGCAAGGGGAUUUUGAAUAUUUUGUAUAUAACCUUAUAGUCUUAUUGCAACAAUUAUUUACUAAUGUUGUUAAUCUAUUACUGUACUCUUUCCUCGUAUGUUUCUACGCUUGAUACAGCAUAAGACUAUUGAUAGUGUCCUUGCGCGUGGUGAGAAGCUAGACAGUUUAAUUGGGAAGAGUUCAGAUCUCAGUGCUGCUUCACAGCUACAUACUUGAAGGAUAAAUAAUAAGCUGACAAUGAAACGAACGGUUAGUGAAAUGGAAAAAGUGAGUGAAGAAAAUACCGAAGCUUCAACUUCAAAAUCAUCCCAACCACCAGCGAAGAAGAGACGGGGCCCAACACGAUGCAAGAAUGUCGUAAACGCGACAACCUUAAUACCAUUAAGGGUUAAUAAAUAUGGACAGCCGAUCGGUCCUGGAAGUGGUACGUAUACUAAUUAUUUGGGAACACUUGCCCGGAGUGCUAGAUUAGCUCCUUUGUGCUACAAAACUUGGUGGGAGAUGUCUAAACGGUUUAAAGAGGAUAUGUGGAACAUUGUAAAGGGAAAGUAUGAUGUGGGAAUCAUAUCAAAACAAUGGACAUUAUCCGCCAUCGGAACAAAAUGGAUAGGGUACAAGUGUGAAUUAAAAAGCGAAUACUACUCGGUUCGGGAUACAGAUGCAGAAAGAUUGGCAAACCCACCUCCUGAUGUUGAGAAGGAGCAUUGGGAAUUUUUGGUUAGGCAUUGGGCCUAUGGUAAAGGAGGUUAGCGAAAAAAACAAAGAACGUCGUGGGAAGCAGAUAAUGCUGCAUACUACAAGGACAAAAAACUUUGCACGUGUUUCUGCCGAGAUUGAGGAAGGUAUUCAGCUUUCUCGUGCAGAUUUAUUCCUUUGCACACAUAUAAAUAAGGAUGGCAAUGCUACUGAUGCUGCUGCGUCAGAGAUGAUUGAAAGCAUAAAAGGUCUUCAAAAAAGUUAUUCUGACUCGUCUAUUGGCAGUUCCGAAGAUUUGUUCUCCGUUAUGAGGGGAUAAGAGAGAAUUGUUCGUGUGCGGAUGCUUGGCUUGGGGCCUACACCAAGCGAUGUUUGGGGGCCCUCUCCUAGUAAAGCUAACCUGAAUAAUAAUGCCAAAACAUCUGAUGAGGAGACACGUGCUGCACGUGUAGAGUUGCAGGAUACCAUUUCAAAAAUGCAAGCUGACUAUGACGACAAGUUGGAAAAUUUACGAGCCAACUAUGAUGACAAAUUGAAAAAUUUACAACAACAGGUGGCUAUGCUAAUGCAUAUGCAACAACAAAAUUAAAGUAGACAGGGUUAUGAUUCUUUAAAUGUUCCUGGAGUAUCUCCAAAUUCAUUUUCUAGUCAUGAUUCCAAUUCAGUUAAGGUUAUGAACUUUAAUUUCUCUUAUAUGUUAAAAUUUUCAUUUAUUAUAAUGUGCGCUUAAUGAAUUUAUAAAAAAUGUAGGGUAAUUCAAAUCAAAUGGGCAAGAAGAGUUGUUGAAGUUGAAGCUGAAGAUGGUGUUGUGAUUGUGCUUUUUGAAUUUCCUUCGCCUUGGAUGGGUUCUUUUUGAAAAAUUUCUACAUUUGUCAAAAAAAUUUAAUUCUUUUUGUGUGACAUUAAUAGCUUUAUUUAGACAAUUUGGAUGGUAUAUUUUCAUAUUGGUAGGUUAACAUGUGGUUGUAUUAGUAGUGAUUGACAUUUAUCAGCUUUAUCUAUUAGUAGACAAUUUCGAUGGUAUUUUCCAUCUUGGCAGCAGGUUAACCAUAUUAUGUAAAAACAAUUUGGAUGGUAUUUUUAUAUUGCCAACUUGUGUUAUAUUGGAUGACA